rnacentral:rRNA from 1 species
UACAGAGGUCCCAAGCGUUGUUCGGAUUCAUUGGGCGUAAAGGGCGCGUAGGUGGCGCGCUAAGUCAGGUGUGAAAUUUCGGAGCUUAACUCCGAAACUGCAUUUGAUACUGGCGUGCUUGAGGACUGGAGAGGAGACUGGAAUUUACGGUGUAGCAGUGAAAUGCGUAGAGAUCGUAAGGAAGACCAGUGGCGAAGGCGGGUCUCUGGACAGUUCCUGACACUGAGGCACGAAGGCCAGGGGAGCAAACGGG